rnacentral:rRNA from 1 species
UACGUAGGUGGCAAGCGUUGUCCGGAUUUACUGGGCGUAAAGAGCGCGCAGGCGGUCGUUCAAGUCGCGUGUGAAAGCCCCCGGCUCAACUGGGGAGGGUCACGCGAUACUGAUCGACUCGAAGGCAGGAGAGGGUAGUGGAAUUCCCGGUGUAGUGGUGAAAUGCGCAGAUAUCAGGAGGAGCACCGGUGGCGAAGGCGGGUCUCUGGGCCGACACUGACGCUGAGGAGCGAAAGCGUGGGGAGCGAACAGG